AUUGAACGCUGGCGGCAGGCCUAACACAUGCAAGUCGAGCGAGCGGCGGACGGGUGAGUAAUGCCUGGGAAUUGCCCAGUCGAGGGGGCUAACAGUUGGAAACGACUGCUAAUACCGCAUACGAUUGGAUUGCCCAGGUGGGAUUAGCUAGUUGGUGAGGUAAUGGCUCACAAAGGCGACGAUCCCUAGCUGGUCUGAGAGGAGGAUCAGCCAAACUGGAACGGGGAAAGGGGCCAGCGUCCGAGGGGAGGAAGCAGUGGGGAAUAUUGCACAAUGGGGGAAACCCUGAUGCAGCCAUGCCGCGUGGGUGAAGAAGGCCUUCGGGUUAUAAAGCACGUUCAGCGAGGAGGCGUUACUCGCAGAAGAAGCACCGGCUAACUCCGUGCCAGCAGCCGCGGUAAUUC
rnacentral:rRNA from 1 species